rnacentral:rRNA from 1 species
CCUACGGGUGGCAGCAGUGAGGAAUCUUGGUCAAUGGACGAGAGUCUGAACCAGCCAAGUAGCGUGAUGGAUGACUGCCCUUUGGGUUGUAAACUUCUUUUAUCAAGGAAUAAUACGAGGCACGUGUGCCUUUUUGCAUGUCCUUUCUGAAUAAGGAUCGGCUAACUCCGUGCCAGCAGCCGCGGUAAUAAGGAGGAUCCGAGCGUUCUUCGGAUUUAUUGGGUUUACAGGGAGCGUAGGUGGGUUGUUACGUCAGUUGUGAAAGUUUGCGGUUCAACCGUCAGAUUGCAAUCGAUACUGGGUGUCUUGAGUACAGUUGAGGUAGGCGGAAUUCGUGGUGUAGCGGUGAAAUGCGUAGAUAUCACGAAGAACCCCGAUUGCGAAGGCAGCUUACUAAACUGUGACUGACAUUGAUGCGCGAAAGUGUGGGUAUCAAACAGGAUUAGAUACCCCUGUAGUC